rnacentral:rRNA from 1 species
AACGAACGCUGGCGGCAUGCCUAACACAUGCAAGUCGAACGAGACCUUCGGGUCUAGUGGCGCACGGGUGCGUAACGCGUGGGAACCUGCCCUUAGGUUCGGAAUAACUCCCCGAAAGGGGUGCUAAUACCGGAUAAUGUCUUCGGACCAAAGAUUUAUCGCCUUUGGAUGGGCCCGCGUUGGAUUAGCUAGUUGGUAGGGUAAAAGCCUACCAAGGCGACGAUCCAUAGCUGGUCUGAGAGGAUGAUCAGCCACACUGGGACUGAGACACGGCCCAGACUCCUACGGGAGGCAGCAGUGGGGAAUAUGGGACAAUGGGCGAAAGCCUGAUCCAGCAAUGCCGCGUGAGUGAUGAAGGCCUUAGGGUUGUAAGCUCUUUUACCCGGGAUGAUAAUGACAGUACCGGGAGAAUAAGCUCCGGCUAACUCCGUG